rnacentral:rRNA from 1 species
AGAGUUUGAUCCUGGCUCAGAACGAACGCUGGCGGCAUGCCUAACACAUGCAAGUCGAACGCUUCGGGGGUUUCGGCCCUCGGGGAGUGGCGCACGGGUGAGUAGCGCGUGGGAACCUGUCCUUUUGUGGGGGAUAACCGAGGGAAACUUCGGCUAAUACCGCAUACGCCCUGGGAGCGAUCCCGGGGGAAAGAUUGAUC